GACAUCACCACUAAAGCUGCAUGCUAUCUCUGUCAUGGAUAGGAAACGUUAUCGUAUUGCUGCAACGUGUGGUCAAGCCGACCGUCACUCUCAUCUCCAUGGUCAAAUGGGCCAACGCUACAACUGUAGAGCACCCAUAUACUGACAUUUAUGUUAAAUGCAUUC